rnacentral:misc_RNA from 1 species
AAGUCGUAACAAGGUAUCUGUAGGUGAACCUGCAGAUGGAUCAUUUCGAUGAAAACCUUUUUUUCAACUUGAGGUGUGGCUCGCACCUGUCCAACUAAACUUGAGCUACCUCAUUUUCAACACGGUUGCAUCGGUCGGCUGUCCAACAGUGCGUUUUGCGCACUGAAAAGGCGGUCGACAUUACCAAAAAAACACUUUUGAUGAUCUAGGAUCUUGAACGACAUAAAAAAAAGUUUAUUUUAAAAACAACUUUUGGCAACGGAUCUCUUGGUUCUC